rnacentral:rRNA from 1 species
AGUGAACGCUGGCGGUAGGCCUAACACAUGCAAGUCGAACGGCAGCACAGUAAGAGCUUGCUCUUACGGGUGGCGAGUGGCGGACGGGUGAGGAAUACAUCGGAAUCUACUUUUUCGUGGGGGAUAACGUAGGGAAACUUACGCUAAUACCGCAUACGACCUACGGGUGAAAGCAGGGGAUCUUCGGACCUUGCGCGAUUGAAUGGGCCGAUGUCGGAUUAGCUAGUUGGCGGGGUAGGGGCCCACCAAGGCGCCGAUCGGGAGCCGGCCUGAGAGGGUGAACGGCCAGAGGGGGACUGAGGUAAGGCCCAGACUCGUACGGGAGGAAGCAGUGGGGAAUAUUGCACAAUGGGAGGAAGCCUGAGGAAGCAACGCAGCGUGCGGGAUGACGGCCUUCGGGUUGUAAAACGCUUUCGCCUGUGACGAUGCGGGAGUGACGGUAAUGGGUAAAGAAGCACCGGCUAACUACGUG